rnacentral:rRNA from 1 species
UACGGGGGGGGCAAGCGUUGUUCGGAAUCACUGGGCGUAAAGGGCUCGUAGGCGGCCAACUAAGUCGGAUGUGAAAUCCCCAGGCUCAACCUGGGAACUGCAUCCGAUACUGGAUGGCUUGAAUUCGGGAGAGGGAUGCAGAAUUCCAGGUGUAGCGGUGAAAUGCGUAGAUAUCUGGAGGAAUACCGGUGGCGAAGGCGGCAUCCUGGACCGACAUUGACGCUGAGGAGCGAAAGCUAGGGGAGCAAACAGG